rnacentral:lncRNA from 1 species
UUCUGGAAAACCUUCACAGAGCAAUUUAGAUCAGUACGACUCCUGAUUAUGUCUAAAUAUGACCAGAAACAGAACUAGUCCUUGCCUCUCACCAGUCCUCCCCACCUUCUCUCCUAUCUAUUAGAUGUAAAUGUUUUGUGGUGGAAUCCAUUGGCUUUAGCCUGGUCUCAGAUCUGUCUGUGCUCCUUGACAACUCCAGCGCGUUGCUGUGACAGAAUGGAGUUGGCAAGACAGCGCAGACAGAUCUGAGACAGGCUAUUGUGCGGUUGGAUCAGGCUGGAUAUUCCCCUCCACUCCGUUAGAUCAGGCGGAUUCCUCCUCCACUCAGUUAGAUCAGGCUGGAUAUUCUCCUCCACUCAGUUAGAUCAGGCUGGAUAUUCCUCCUCCACUCAGUUAGAUCAGGCUGGAUAUUCCUCCUCCACUCCGUUAGAUCAGGCUGGAUAUCCUCCUCCACUCAGUUAGAUCAGGCUGGAUAUUCCUCCUCCACUCAGUUAGAUCAGGCUGGAUUUCCUCCUAUUCCCCUCCACUAGUUAGAUCAGGCUGGAUAUUCCUCCUCCACUCAGUUAGUCAGCUGGAUAUUCCUCCCCACUCCGUGUAGAUCAGGCUGAUAUUCCUCUCCACUCCGUUAGAUCAGGCUGGAUAUUCCUCCUCCACUCCGUUAGAUCAGGCUAGAUAUUCCUCCUCCCCAAUCAGGCUGGAUAUUCCUCCUCCCCAUCAGAUCAGGCUGGAUAUUCCUCCCCACUUCCUAGAUCAGGCUGGAUAUUCUCCUCCCCCAGAUCAGGCUGGAUAUUCCUCCUCCCCUCAGAUCAGGCUGGAUAUUCCUCCUCCACUCAGUUAGAUCAGGCUGGAUAUUCCUCCUCCACUCAGUUAGAUCAGGCUGGAUAUUCCUCCUCCCCUCAGUUAGAACAGGCAGGAUAUUCCUCCUCCCCUCAGAUCAGGCUGGAUAUUCCUCCUCCUCCACUCAGUUAGAU